ensembl:lncRNA
GUUACUUUGGGAAAAUCCCAGGUAUUUUGAGCAGUAAGAUUAUAAAAAAUAUGUGCAAAUAUAAAAUUAAAUUAAGUAGUCUAUAUAAAAUUGCAAAAUAAAUCUAUCAGUAUUUUUUUAUUAAAGUACAUAAAAAAUCAAGUACUUUGGUACUUUCACUCGAGUAAAAUUGAAAAAGGAGUACUUUUACUGGAGUAAUAUUAUUGUUCUGACUAUUUAUGUAGUCAUUUAAUUUUGGUUUUAUUUAAUUGGUUAAGAUGCAUCAUGUGACUUAGGUUAGAGGUCGUGGUGGCCAUUUUAGUUUUCACUUCUCCACAGCAGUGAUGCUGCAGCAGAUGUCUCUCUGAUAAAGAUAUAUUCUUCUGUUAUUUCAUGCUAAAGAGGCCAUCGUCUUUUCACAAAAAUGUACGUUGUGGGAAAGAAGAUUUCUAAGUAAAACACCGAAAAAGAACCUUUUUUGGUUUCGACUUUUUCUUCAACCCUCAUCCUGUUUAACUAUCUGUUGAGGUGCAACAUACUUGCAUCAGGGACAGAAUAGUGAAAAGACGGAGCUUCAAUGCAAUAGAAAGACGGAAUCUCUUCAUUCAAGCUACAGAGUCUGCUCUCAAGUGAAUGAUCUCCUCAUAUCUCAUUUCUUCAUCAAGUCUUGAACUUUGAGGUACUAUCUAUGCGUUUUAUGUCAUGGAGGGUGACAGGAAAUCUGAGACUGAGAAGAUGCUGAAAUCUAGUUCUGUUGUUACACGUUCAACAGCAUCGUCAAAAAGGUCUAGUAGGACAUCGGCUAGCAUGGCUGCUGCCAAAGCACGAGCUAGAGCUGAGGCAGAGCGUACACGUGCAUAUUAUGUCAAGAAAGAAACUGAAAUGAAAGUAGAAAAAGUUCGCAUGGAAGGCAGUCUUACAGCACUAGAACAUGAAAAGGAGGCUGCUGCCGCUAUGGCCGAGGCAAGAAUAUUAGAGGAGGCUGUAGAGAGCAUGGAGGAAGGCAGUUAUCGUUCACAUAGCCCGAUUGCUCCUGCUGCAGACCCUGUGCAGCGCACGAGUGAUUAUGUGGAGCAGCACACAAAUAACUCCAUUGUUGUUCCUCC